rnacentral:rRNA from 1 species
CCCUUAGAUGUUCUGGGCCGCACGCGUGCUACACUGAGUAAAUCAAUGGGUAAGGGAACACGAAAGUGCAACCUAAUCUUCAAAUUUGCUCGUGAUGGGGAUCGACGGUUGCAAUUUUCCGUCGUGAACGAGGAAUACCUUGUAGGCGCGUGUCAUCAUCACGCGCCGAAUACGUCCCUGCCCUUUGUACACACCGCCCGUCGCUCCUACCGAUUGAGUGAUCCGGUGAGGCUCUGGGACCUGGACGGAAAGAGCGUUUCGCUUGUUCUGUUUGGGAAACUUGGUCGAACCUUAUCAUUUAGAGGAAGGAGAGUCGUAACA